rnacentral:tRNA from 1 species
UAGGUUUUAGUUUAUAAGAACAUUUGACUGUUAAUCAAAAAGAGCAAAUGGUUGCAAACCUAG